ACCAAAUGCAACCCUAGAUUCACACCCUGCACUCUACUGUAAUAAUCUUAGUACAAAAUAUGCCUUGUGAGGUAUCAUUUUAAAACUAGUCACUUGAUGGUCAAUAAUAUCACAGUGAAAUGUGUGUAGUUUUAUAUAUAAAGUUUCAAA